UCGCAGCCAUUUUGCAGGAAUCUAAUUAGACUUUCAAUUAAAGGGGCAACGUUGGACGGUGAUUUGAGAUUACACUGAGAAAAAACAUUAAUCAAGGUCAUUAUAAGGCUAGAUAAAUUUGUUGUUGAGUCUUCUUUAGGUUGGUUAUUGAUAGCACAUCCAUCCCUUGGGGAAGGGAAAGAGUAGUCACGGAUUAAAUUAUUAUGGGCUACCUUAUCAUAGCCUUUUGAAUGUGAAGGAGAGGGACGAGGUGGAAGGAAGACAGUCUUUUUGACUAGAGGACAGAGCGUCUGCGUAGGACUUGGAGACUGGAGGGUGGAGCUUGGAUGCCUCUGCAUACGAGAUGGAAUUUUCAGCCAUAUAAGCCUUGAUUUUCUUUUGGCGGACAAAUUCUGGGCAUGACUUACUAGUUGCAUAGUGGAAACCAGAACAAAGACAGCAGGAGGCUUGGUCUUCAUGGAUGGAGCAAGAAUCACCAAUGUGGGCUUGCCCACAUUUAAAACAGCGGGGCUGGGACCUACAUUGGGCCUUAGUAUGACCAAAUCGGCAACAAUUAAAACAUUGAAUUGUAGGGAAAAUGUACAAUUCCACUGACAAAGCAUUAUAGCAUACAAAAACUCGUUUAGGUAAAGAUUGUCCGUCAAAUGUUACUACGACUGAUUGGGAUGGUUUCCAAGAAACUGUACCAUUAAUAUAAGACUUAAAAUUCAA